rnacentral:rRNA from 1 species
GACGAACCGUCCUAACGUUGUUCGGAAUCACUGGGCUUAAAGGGCGCGUAGGCGGGCUGCCAAGUCCGGGGUGAAAUCUUUCGGCUUAACCGGAAAAUAGCCUGGGAUACUGGUGGUCUCGAGGGAGGCAGGGGCCGUUGGAACUUCCGGUGGGGCGGUGAAAUGCGUUGAUAUCGGAAGGAACGCCGGUGGCGAAAGCGAACGGCUGGACCUCUUCUGACGCUGAGGCGCGAAAGCCAGGGGAGCAAACGGG